CAUCUACUCCCUCCGUCCGAAAAUACUUGUCAUCAAAAUGGAUAAAAAAGAUGUAUCUAGAACUAAAAUACAUCUAGAUACAUCCCUUUUUAUCCAGUUUGAAGACAAGUAUUUCCGGACGGAGGGAGUACGAG
rnacentral:pre_miRNA from 1 species